rnacentral:pre_miRNA from 1 species
GAAAUUAAGGUUCUGAUCCAAAGCCCAUUAAAGUCAAUGGGAAUCUUUUCAUUGGCCUCAGUGAGCUUUGGAUCAGGCUUUUAAUGC